AAGAGACGUUGCCCUUCGGGGUAUACCUCCCACCCUUUGUUUAUUAUACCUUUGUUGCUUUGGCGGGCCCGUCCUCGGACCACCGGCUUCUUGCUGGUCAGUGCCCGCCAGAGGACCUAAAACUCUGUUUGUUAAUAUUGUCUGAGUACUAUAUAAUAGUUAA
rnacentral:misc_RNA from 1 species